rnacentral:lncRNA from 1 species
AUAAAAUGUACGUGCAAAUGCACGUAAUAAUUAUUAGAAAAAGUUAUAAUUUUUUAAAAUUAUUUUUUAAUUUUAGGUAUAUUUUAUAUGAUUGCCAAAUAUGUAUCUAAAAAAUUUAAAAUAACAAAUCACGCUAUUAAGAAAGAUAUGCUUUAAAUGAUAAGUAAUUAACAAUAAUUUCUAAUGCAAAAAUUACUUUUGAAAUUAAAUAGAAAAAUUUAUAUUUUAAGAUUUUCACAUCAGUAAUCUGUUAUAGAGAACUUUCUAUUUCUAUUUUUAUUCUUAUAUUUAAAAUUUUUCAAACGGAAAGAGAAAAAUGGGCGCUAAUUUUUCCGUCGAAAAAUAGGUCUGUCGACAGACCCAAAUUUGAAUAUACAUACUUUUAUGUAUAGUAUAGAUAUGUAAAUUA